rnacentral:rRNA from 1 species
GACGAACGCUGGCGGCGUGCCUAAUACAUGCAAGUCGAGCGGAUGACGGAGGAGCUUGCUCCUCCUGAUUCAGCGGCGGACGGGUGAGUAACACGUGGGCAACCUGCCCUGUAGAUCGGGGUAACUCCGGGAAACCGGGGAUCAUACCGAAUAAUCCUUCGGACCUCAUGGUCCGAUGUUGAAAGACGGUUUCGGCUGUCACUACAGGAUGGGCCCGCGGCGCAUUAGCUAGUUGGUGAGGUAACGGCUCACCAAGGCCACGAUGCGUAGCCGACCUUGGAGGGUGAUCGGCCAAACUGGGACUGAGACACGGCCCAGACUCCUACGGGAGGCAGCAGUAGGGAAUCUUCCACAAGGGACGAAAGUCUGAUGGAGCAACGCCGCGUGAGUGAAGAAGGUUCUCGGAUCGUAAAACUCUGUUGUGAGGGAAGAACAAGUACCGGAGUAACUGCCGGUGCCUUGACGGUACCUCAUUAGAAAGCCACGGCUAACUACGUGCCAGCCGCCGCCGUAAAAC